CAACUUUGUGUGCAUGUGUCACAAUGCCAGGAGGACCCAUUCAGUGUUGUGUUAGAAAAAUUGAACUCAUUAACCCUUCAUGGACAUUAUAAAUGUUUAAAUGUGGCCUCAGGUAAAGACAGGAAAAGAGACUAUUACAAAUUCAACUGCAUCAGAGCUGGAAAAAAAAGUCGAAACAGCUACAGAGCAGUGGGCUGUGAGGCCUAUGUUUCAUUUAAAGUACUCAAAUGUUGGAAAGACCACACAGUCAUCGUGCAGCGUACAUAUGAUAAGCAUGAUGGGCAUGAUCCUUCGGACCCAAAAGACGCACAUUUCAACAAUAUUUCCAGUGGUUUGAGGAGGAAGAUUGAGGAACUGCUUUCCCUUGGAACUAAGCCAGCCAUCAUACUAACCGAAUGUCAUAAAUGGGCCAAAGAACAUGGACACAGAGAUCUUCACAACAGAGAGCAUUUUGUCACACCACGUGACACUGACAGUGUUAGAACCUGCAUGAUGAGGAAGAAGCACUUUAACUGUAGAGACAGUCAAAGUGUACAUACCUUACUUAAUGGAAAACAUCAAGAACAUGUUCUCUUCUAUCAACCAUACACAUCUGACCAAGAACUAAUGAUUGUUUUGCAGACACCUGUAAUGAAAUCAAACAUGGAGAACUAUGCAAAACAGUUAGUAUUUGUUGACACCACCCACCGUGUUAACCAGUAUUCAUUUCCCUUAUUCACACUUGUUGUAAGAGAUGAUCAUGGGCGUGGAGUCCCUGUGGCCUAUGCUAUUGUCAGCAACGAAAGUCAGAAAACCCUGGAAACUGUUCUUGGAAUAGUUUGUGAGCAUUUCCCAACUUCCCCGAGAGCAUUUAUGGUUGACAAAGACUUUGCGGAAAUAAAUGCUUUGCAGAAGGUUUUUCCAGAGUCAGCUAUCCUUCUAUGCUGGUACCAUGUCUUGCAGGCUGUUAAUCGAUGGCUUUCAAAAUCUGAGUCUGGGGUCCAUGGGCUUUCUAACACCCAAAAGAGAAAUGAAAUCAUUUCUUUCUUUGGUAAGCUGAAAGCUUGCACAUCUGAGGAAGACUUUAAAGCCACAUCAGCAGAGUUUUGCCAGACAUUUAAGCAAAACCCUUAUUGGCCACAUGUGGUGUGACUACGGCCGUCGCUUCAGUCACGCUCGUUCUGAAACAAACAAUGUGAUUGAAAGAUUUUUCCACCGCCUGAAAUACCAGUUUUUAUCUGGCUACAAGAAUAGGCGUCUGGAUGAUCUAAUUGAAGUGCUCCUAGGGAAGGCCGACGACUACUUCUCAGUCAUAAAAACCCUGCAAGAUGUGGGCCGCAUGAAAAACAGGUUUGCUGACACCUUGUCUCAAGUUUCAGACUCUGCUUCAAGACUGAUGAAAAGUGGUUGGGCUCUUAAAAUUACAGUCAAGAACAGCCAUGGAGUUAAUGCAUAUCAAGUCCCAUCUGAGUCAAGAGAAGACAUAGUGUAUGAUGUCUGCCCUGUUGAGUCCUACUGCAACUGUACAUAUGGCUUACGAGGACUUCUUUGC